AGUCACUGUCACGCGGCGCAAAGAGUGCUUCUCCGUCAAUUCUCUUGUGCGUGCGACAGCGACUGA
rnacentral:pre_miRNA from 1 species